rnacentral:lncRNA from 1 species
UAUAUAUUUAGGGCUUCAUUGACUCACAUCCUCAAUGUAAUACGCUAUUAACUCGAGCCCAAAAGAAAGAUAUACACCGUAGAUGUUAUGUUUUUACAUAUAAACAUAUAUAUAUAUGAAUCAUUUAUGCAACGAUUGUUAAAAAGAAAGUUUUGAACUCGCUCCUCAAAUCUCAUUAUACGCAUUCGUAAGUUCAUACCCCAUAUGUAUAAAACAAAAUUCGUAUAUAUAACACAUAUGUAACGUAGGUAGAGUAAAUAGUUGUGAUUCUUUUGACAAUUUACUUCUCUUUUUAUAAUUAUUUUCAAUCUUUGUACCAAUCAGUAAUCAUCAUGUCUCUUCUUCUUUUUUAUCAGCCAUGAUUUCCUCGCUCUCUCUCAUCAUCAUCAGCACCACCAAACUUCCACCAAACAAGUCUCAUCAAAAACUACAAUAAAAAGUUAAGAGGGAUUUUGAGACAUAGGAAACACACGAUGAAGAUCUUGGCCUUGCAAGGUAUAAGAAGAAACAAACAACUGUUCCUAUUCAAGAAAGUAAGAGGAAAAAAACAAAGCAAGCAUAUCCCUAAAUGGUUUAUCGAUCUCAUGCAUGAAGUGGGAAUUUGAUGUGUUUUGUGGGGGAACGAAAAAGGUUACAUCGAGAAGUAUUAUUUUCGAUCUGAAUCUGAAUCUCAUCUCAUCUCUUCUUGGGGAAUGGAAGCAUUACGGUCCGAUCUUCAUCUCUCUUAAUUAUGAAUUUUUGUUUCUAAGAAAGGUUUCUUUCUUUGCAAGAUUGAUAAAUAUAUCGUAUGAUUGAAAAUUUCGAUUUGCAUGACUAUAUGAAUUGGUUGUGUUAGUUUUUAUAGUUAAGAUCUGGUUAUUUUGUAUAAUAAAUAAUGUUAUGUUUGCGACUGAAUUAAGUUUCCAUUUUCUUACUUCAUUAAUUUCAGCUUCGACUAUAUGUUGUUUCCGCAUUCAUAUGUCAAUUAUAUUAUUGUGCAGUACUAAUAUUGAUCUAUAUAUAUACACAUGUGUUAGUAUACUUUAAUAUAUAUCUAUCCUAUAAAUCCCUUGUUACACAUAGUUGGUCAUCUCAAUCUUCAAAUUUUGUAGGAUAUGCUAGUAUCCUUGAGCGAAAAUAAACCAUUGUUCGUGAGAAUAUAGUUCAGUUUACUUUCUCGAAUAGAACAGUAUCCAUAGAAGCUAUUCGAUUAUCAGGGGCGGCCCAAGGUAAAAUGAUGCCUAAAGCAAAAAAAAAAUUUGGCCCAUCAUUAAAAAUGUUCGAACU